CAGCAGCCGCGGUAAUACCAGCUCUCCGAGUGGUGUGGAUGUUAUUGGGCCUAAAGCAUCCGUAGGCUGGCUAGGUAAGUCCCUUGUUAAAUCCACCGAAUUAAUCGUUGGAUCGCGGGGGGAUACUGCUUGGCUAGGGGACGAGAGAGGCAGACGGUAUUUUCGGGGUAGGGGUGAAAUCCUAUAAUCCCGGGAAGACCACCAGUGGCGAAGGCUGUCUGCUAGAACGCGCCCGACGGUGAGGGAUGAAAGCUGGGGGAGCGAACCGGAUUAGAUACCCGGGUAGUCCCAGCUGUAAACGAUGCAGACUAGGUGUUUGGACGGCCACGUGCCGUUCUAGUGCCGCAGGGAAGCUGUUAAGUCUGCCGCCUGGGGAGUACGAUCGCAAGAUUGAAACUUAAAGGAAUUGGCGGGGGAGCACCACAAGGGGUGAAGCUUUGCGGUUUAAUUGGAGUCAACGCCGGAAAUCUCACCGGGAGCGACAGCAGUAUGAAAGCCAGAUUGAAGGUCUUGCUAGACGAGCUGAGGAGUGGUGCAUGG
rnacentral:rRNA from 1 species